GACGAACGCUGGCGGCGUGCCUAAUACAUGCAAGUCGAGCGAAGUUUUUCUGGUGCUUGCACUAGAAAAACUUAGCGGCGAACGGGUGAGUAACACGUAAAGAACCUGCCUCAUAGACUGGGACAACUAUUGGAAACGAUAGCUAAUACCGGAUAACAGUAUUUCUCGCAUGAGAGAUAUUUAAAAGUUGGUUAUGCUAACACUAUGAGAUGGCUUUGCGGUGCAUUAGCUAGUUGGUGGGGUAAAGGCCCACCAAGGCGACGAUGCAUAGCCGACCUGAGAGGGUGAUCGGCCACCCUGGGACUGAGACACGGCCCAGACUCCUACGGGAGGCAGCAGUAGGGAAUCUUCCGCAAUGGGCGAAAGCCUGACGGGGCAACGCCGCGUGAGUGAAGAAGGAUGUCGGUUCGUAAAGCUCUGUUGUUAGGGAAGAAUGGAUAUGUAGUAACUAUACAUGUAAGAGACGGUACCUAACCAGAAAGCCACGGCUAACGACG
rnacentral:rRNA from 1 species